CGGAAGCGCGGGUGGUGCCCUUGACUCGGCGGCCUUGCUUCGGCUCCUGCGCGAUGCCGCGGGCCCCGGAGCGCCUCGGCCCGCAGGCGGGUGCGCGUUUGGAACGUUCUAGGCCGCAGGACCGAAGGGCCCCGGAGCGUCUCGCGAGGGCUGAAAUGAUCCUCACGGGCGGCUCGUGGGCCCCGGGCUGAGCCCGCGGCUCGCGCGCGGGGAGUGGACGCAGCCCGUGGCCUGGCAGGGGCGGCGCGUGGCCGGCGGCGGGACUGACGCCUCGCGGGGUAAUUAAGUUGGAGCCCACGAGCCCUUCGUCACUGCAAAUUGAACGACUGAGGGCGGGCCGGUGACGAACGUUCCAGAAACCCGGAGACAACGCUCGGUGCAGGCCCGCGUGAUUGUGGAGUGUAAGUUCAGGGUACGUGAUCAAUAAAGUGAUGUGUGUGGGCC